rnacentral:lncRNA from 1 species
GGGAGGUAUAAUUAAGAACUAACGGAGAUCAAUAGCAUAUAUUUCUAAUAGCCUGCAAGUGACUAGAUCUUUAGUUAUGGGUGAUCAGCAUUAUAUGCACAACUUUUCAUUCAUGACCAACUCAUGGUUUGACUUAUACAUAAAGCUCUAAUUGUGGGUAUGAUAUAGGUAAGUUAGUCUAUUUCAACUUUCCUCUCGAGUCUGCUAAUAUUU